rnacentral:lncRNA from 1 species
CUUUAGAGCAGAUUAUAAUGGAUUUAGAAUUGGAAGAUCCACAUUCAAGUCCUGGCCUUGUCCUUUACUGGCUGUGUGGCUUUGAGCAAGUCACUUAAUUGUGCCUGAGCUUCAGUUCCACAUCUAUAAAAUGAUGAUGUGGUAGGUUCCUGUCUUUCAGGGCUGCUCUGCAAUAUGGAGAUGACACAUGUAAAGAUCUUUUGUGAAAUGGUAAAGUCUCAUUAUUAUCCUGAUCCCCCCUGCCCAUUGCCUUUGAGAGCAUUAAUCACAUAUAUAUAUUUUUUUAAUCUUUUAAUUGUCAUUUUAUAGCUCCCCACCGCAGCUGCCCCCCACCCUUCCCUUCGUUGACAACACAAAGUCUGCAGGCUUCAGGGGGACCAGGGAACAAAGCUGGGGCCUGGCAGCCCCACUAUGCUGCCAGCCAGGGAGAACAAGUCACAAUUACAAAUUAUCACAACAAUUAGUGCCUGUACUUGGGGGAUCUGCAAAUUGAGGAGGCCCCAGCUCCUCAUUGUAUAGGGGUCUAUUUGGCAGUGACCUUGCUCUGGAGACGAUGAUAUUCCUUCAGCCUGAGGGAAUUGAUGUUGAUGAACCCGGUGGCAUCAAUCGGCUCAUAAUCACCCUGCACGUUCAUGCUCACCAGUUCCUCGUUGUAGAGAGACAGUGGGGACUCCCGGCUGAGGAUGUACACCUGGCCCUUGAGGACGGACACCUGCACUUUCCCUUCCACUCGCUCCUGGGACUUGGCAAUGCAGUGGCGGACAAAUUCACACUCAGGGCUGUGCCAGAAACCGGUAUACACCAGCUCAGCAAAUUUCAAGCCCAGGCCUUGUUUGAUUUUGCGCACUUCUCGGUCCAUGGUGAAGGCCUUGAUGCCUAAAUGAGCGUGGUAAAGGAUGGUGCCUGCUGGGGUCUCGUAGAUACCUCGGGACUUCAUUCCAAUGAAGCGGUUCUCCACGAUGUCAAUACGGCCCACACUAUGCUUGCCCGCGACUUCGUUCAGGUACAUGAAGAGCUCCAAGGAGGUCUGGUGAGUGGUGCCAUCCUUGACGUUGGUCACCUUCACGGGGACCCCUUUUUUGAACUCGAUCUCGAGGAUGCACGAGGUGUCCAGGCCGCCACUGUAGGCCAGAACCACGGAGCCUUUGCUGGACAUAGUGUCUGGGAUUGGAGGCGUGAGUUCCUGGCGUCUGGAAUCUGUCUUCACGGUGCAGUGAACCACUUGGGCUUGGGCAGCGGUGGCAGGUGGCAGAGCAGGGCCUAAUCACAUAUUUUUAGUGCCUCUUUUGCAUUUAUCUUCUUAGGCAAUCUCCUGAAUG